ACUCCUACGGGGGCAGCAGUGGGGAAUAUUGCACAAUGGGCGCAAGCCUGAUGCAGCCAUGCCGCGUGUAUGAAGAAGGCCUUCGGGUUGUAAAGUACUUUCAGCAGUGAGGAAGGUGGGUAUGUUAAUAGCAUAUUCAUUUGACGUUAGCUGCAGAAGAAGCACCGGCUAACUCCGUGCCAGCAGCCGCGGUAAUACGGAGGGUGCGAGCGUUAAUCGGAAUUACUGGGCGUAAAGCGCAUGCAGGUGGUUUGUUAAGUCAGAUGUGAAAGCCCGGGGCUCAACCUCGGAAUUGCAUUUGAAACUGGCAAACUAGAGUACUGUAGAGGGGGGUAGAAUUUCAGGUGUAGACGGUGAAAUGCGUAGAGAUCUGAAGGAAUACCGGUGGCGAAGGCGGCCCCCUGGACAGAUACUGACACUCAGAUGCGAAAGCUGGGGAGCAAACAGGAUUAGAUACCCUGGUAGGCUCUAGC
rnacentral:rRNA from 1 species